rnacentral:pre_miRNA from 1 species
AGUGCUAUUGCUGGGUCAUAGGGUAGGUCUAUUUUUUGAGGAACCUCCACACUGUUUUCCAGAGUGGCUGCACCAAUUUGCAUUCCCACCAACAGU